UCCCUCAUAGCUCAGUUGGUAUAUCAUCUACCUGAAAUGCAGGAGACCCAGGUUCGAUUCCUGGGUUGGGAA
rnacentral:tRNA from 1 species